rnacentral:rRNA from 1 species
UACAGAGGUGGCAAGCGUUGUUCGGAAUUACUGGGCGUAAAGGGCGCGUAGGCGGUUCGUUAAGUCCUGUGUGAAAUCCCUGGGCUCAACCCAGGAACUGCGUCCGAUACUGGCAGGCUUGAAUCCGGGAGAGGGAUGCGGAAUUCCAGGUGUAGCGGUGAAAUGCGUAGAUAUCUGGAGGAACACCGGUGGCGAAGGCGGCAUCCUGGACCGGCAUUGACGCUGAGGCGCGAAAGCCAGGGGAGCAAACGGG